GGAGAAUAAUUGCAUCAGACCCUCCCAUUUCCAGGGGAAGGACGGGUGUUGCAGCGCAACCGAUGGGAGAACAUAAGAGGAAGAAAGCAGCUUAUUUACAUAUUCCUAAUCAGGUUAAGGUAUAAUUUUUUUUUUUUUUUUUUUUUUUAAUGGGAAAAGGAAAUGCCUUCAAGAAUUGAAAGGUCAUUUGAAAAACCUGCUUUCACUUCCUCCGGGAGCCACACCACAUGCUGACCGUGACCUCUGCUCACAUCUGCUGCAAACCCUGCGGGUUCAAAAGGAAAGGAGGCCAACGGGUGUGAUCCAGCCCGGAGCCUGGAAGUUUCAAGAGAAGUUAAAUGUCAUCCGUGUUUAAAAAGUCAGAAACAUAUCGUCCCUCUGUUUUUGGCAUCUGCUAUUUACGCAGUAGGUUCACUGCAAAUCUGAGCGCAGGGAGAGGAUUUAGAGUCUAGAUGGCAACACCAGCGGGGUUGGGGGGGCUGAGCUGGGGGAUGUCUUAGCAGUUGUUUGGCUUUGGCUCAGUGAGACCACAGAGCAUCACGGCCCACCUGCUGCUUCCUGACCAGCAAGACCUCGUCGACUCACAGCCCCCCUGGCUUCAGGUGCCCUGGGGGCCGGCAGGUACCAGCCCCAAAUUUAUCAGUUUCCACGGAAGGGACAGUUUGGGCCGAGGGGUCAGCUCUCAUACCCCGGGGAACGUGCAGAAUCUGCUGUCCAGCUUUCCAGGGAGCUCAAGCGAGGGAGCCACACUCUUCACAGAGCAUCUCAGCUGCCCAGGAGGAAGGUGGACAUUUCGGAGGCCAGGGAGGCCUGAACUUCCUGCUCCUGGCCCUAAGCUCCUGGACUCCUCACCCACUUCUCCAGGGCCAAAGCCCCCAAGGCCUCAGCCCCCAGGGCAUCGGAGAAGGAAAGAAAGCAGACGGCAGAAAGGGUGUCCAGCCUCAUCCUGUGAUCCCUGCUCCGUGAAGCUGGGGUGAGGCCCCAGGACCACGUGGAUCUCUGACUCCUGGAGAGCUCUGACCCAGAGGCUGGUCUAUCUACAUCUUCCGUCCUCAUCCAGCC
rnacentral:lncRNA from 9 species